rnacentral:rRNA from 1 species
UGACAUAAGUAACGAUAAAGCGGGUGAAAAGCCCGCUCGCCGGAAGACCAAGGGUUCCUGUCCAACGUUAAUCGGGGCAGGGUGAGUCGACCCCUAAGGCGAGGCCGAAAGGCGUAGUCGAUGGGAAACGGGUUAAUAUUCCCGUACUUGGUGUUACUGCGAAGGGGGGACGGAGAAGGCUAUGUUGGCCGGGCGACGGUUGUCCCGGUUUAAGCGUGUAGGUGUGUGUUCCAGGUAAAUCCGGUUCACUUUAACACUGAGGCGUGACGACGAGGCACUACGGUGCUGAAGCAACAAAUGCCCUGCUUCCAGGAAAAGCCUCUAAGCAUCAGGUAACAUCAAAUCGUACCCCAAACCGACACAGGUGGUCAGGUAGAGAAUACCAAGGCGCUUGAGAGAACUCGGGUGAAGGAACUAGGCAAAAUGGUGCCGUAACUUCGGGAGAAGGCACGCUGACACGUAGGUGAAGUGAUUUACUCAUGGAGCUGAAGUCAGUCGAAGAUACCAGCUGGCUGCAACUGUUUAUUAAAAACACAGCACUGUGCAAACACGAAAGUGGACGUAUACGGUGUGACGCCUGCCCGGUGCCGGAAGGUUAAUUGAUGGGGUCAGCGCAAGCGAAGCUCCUGAUCGAAGCCCCGGUAAACGGCGGCCGUAACUAUAACGGUCCUAAGGUAGCGAAAUUCCUUGUCGGGUAAGUUCCGACCUGCACGAAUGGCGUAAUGAUGGCCAGGCUGUCUCCACCCGAGACUCAGUGAAAUUGAACUCGCUGUGAAGAUGCAGUGUACCCGCGGCAAGACGGAAAGACCCCGUGAACCUUUACUAUAGCUUGACACUGAACAUUGAGCCUUGAUGUGUAGGAUAGGUGGGAGGCUUUGAAGUGUGGACGCCAGUCUGCAUGGAGCCGACCUUGAAAUACCACCCUUUAAUGUUUGAUGUUCUAACGUGGACCCGUAAUCCGGGUUGCGGACAGUGUCUGGUGGGUAGUUUGACUGGGGCGGUCUCCUCCUAAAGAGUAACGGAGGAGCACGAAGGUUGGCUAAUCCUGGUCGGACAUCAGGAGGUUAGUGCAAUGGCAUAAGCCAGCUUGACUGCGAGCGUGACGGCGCGAGCAGGUGCGAAAGCAGGUCAUAGUGAUCCGGUGGUUCUGAAUGGAAGGGCCAUCGCUCAACGGAUAAAAGGUACUCCGGGGAUAACAGGCUGAUACCGCCCAAGAGUUCAUAUCGACGGCGGUGUUUGGCACCUCGAUGUCGGCUCAUCACAUCCUGGGGCUGAAGUAGGUCCCAAGGGUAUGGCUGUUCGCCAUUUAAAGUGGUACGCGAGCUGGGUUUAGAACGUCGUGAGACAGUUCGGUCCCUAUCUGCCGUGGGCGCUGGAGAACUGAGGGGGGCUGCUCCUAGUACGAGAGGACCGGAGUGGACGCAUCACUGGUGUUCGGGUUGUCAUGCCAAUGGCACUGCCCGGUAGCUAAAUGCGGAAGAGAUAAGUGCUGAAAGCAUCUAAGCACGAAACUUGCCCCGAGAUGAGUUCU